GCAUCACCCCGCACCGCUGCGCGUCCCGCGGGGAGCUGUGUCCCGCCAGAGGCUGAGGAGCCACAGGGACAGGCUGGACCCCAAGGUGUCUCAUGGGAAGUGGUGCUAUCAGGAUUUUCUGGCCUUGCCCCUGUGUGUGUCAGUGAUUCCUGUGGGCAUGACAUCCCUACUGGUCACCCCAACAACAACACUGCAAGGGCGAGGGUGAGCUGAGAACAUCCUCAAGCUGAUUUUCCUGCUGUACGUGGUUGAUUCUUCUCUCCAGGUCAGAGACACAUUGUGGAGGAUCAAGGAUCUGCAAAGGACAUUCCUGCUUCCUGAAGACAACCUCAAGCACCGAAUAUUUGUGCCUCAUGACAAGGAGGACAUCUGGCAGUUGUGCCUCAGGGAUAUCUGAAGGCCACAAUGGGGUUUUUUGCUUGGUUUUGAUAUCUGAAGGCUGUUGAGCAUUAAAUGUGGCCUUCAGGACAGGACCUUGCAUCGCUGCUUUGUUUGGUUCCUGGACAUGAUGCUCCUACUUCCAUGACCAUUAAAAAGAGGAUAAAGGAGAGCCCAAUAUAAGAACAUCAAUUUAUGGAGUGGUGCUGGUUAGCAGAACGUGAAAACACUGUCAUAAUAAUAAAACAUAAUAUUGGUGGGUA